GCGGGCGUAGCUCAAUGGUAGAGCACGAGCUUCCCAAGCUUGGGACGAGGGUCCGAUUCCCUUCGCCCGCU
rnacentral:tRNA from 1 species